UGGCCUUUUCAUUAAAAUUAAUUAUGGUGUCUAUAUUUACUAGUUUAAUAUCUAAUGUCCUCUAUCUUAGGACAACAUAUUAAAUGCAUUUUUGUAGUUGGGAAAUGGAAUAGGAGCUUGCUCGUCCACUUUGUGCAUUGACCUAGUACUGCAGCACCUACAGGAAAUGUGAGCCCCAU
rnacentral:snRNA from 1 species